rnacentral:rRNA from 1 species
CCUACGGGUGGCAGCAGUGAGGAAUAUUGGUCAAUGGACGAGAGUCUGAACCAGCCAAGUAGCGUGAAGGAUGACUGCCCUAUGGGUUGUAAACUUCUUUUAUAUGGGAAUAAAAUGUUCCACGUGUGGGAUUUUGUAUGUACCAUACGAAUAAGGAUCGGCUAACUCCGUGCCAGCAGCCGCGGUAAUACGGAGGAUGCGAGCGUUAUCCGGAUUUAUUGGGUUUAAAGGGUGCGUAGGUGGGUUGUUAAGUCAGUUGUGAAAGUUUGCGGCUCAACCGUAAAAUUGCAGUUGAUACUGGCAGGCUUGAGUACAGUAGAGGUAGGCGGAAUUCGUGGUGUAGCGGUGAAAUGCUUAGAUAUCACGAAGAACUCCGAUUGCGAAGGCAGCUCACUGGACUGCAACUGACGCUGAGGCUCGAAAGUGUGGGUAUCAAACAGGAUUAGAUACCCUAGUAGUC